UUCAGGCUAGGAUUCCGCCUACACUUUGAUUGUUGUCUCCUCGACCACCGAUUUCUAUUAUGGAUUCACGUUUUAUCACGCAUUGGUUCAGAGAAUAAGGAGGGAAUCUUCCAACCAUAUCGAAUUUAUCAAGCAUAUAAAAACGAAGAAAAAGACAAGAUAUAUACAAAUCCAAAGCAUAACACUAGAAUGAUUAAAUGAACAGUAAUAAUAAUAAAAAUGAAAAGAAUAAAACCAAAACAUAUGACUUCCGUAGAAAGAGAGAAUUUAAUUCCUUAAUUUGGAGGUAAAACAAUGGAAACUCUUUUUCGAGCCCUUCUUGCUGCACCCG
rnacentral:sRNA from 1 species